GACGAACGCUGGCGGCGUGCUUAACACAUGCAAGUCGAACGGAAAGGCCCUGCUUUUGUGGGGUGCUCGAGUGGCGAACGGGUGAGUAACACGUGAGUAACCUGCCCUUGACUUUGGGAUAACUUCAGGAAACUGGGGCUAAUACCGGAUAGGAGCUCCUGCUGCAUGGUGGGGGUUGGAAAGUUUCGGCGGUUGGGGAUGGACUCGCGGCUUAUCAGCUUGUUGGUGGGGUAGUGGCUUACCAAGGCUUUGACGGGUAGCCGGCCUGAGAGAGUGACCGGCGACAUGGGGACUGAGGGACGGCGCAGACUGCUACGGGAGGCAGCAGUGGGGAGUAUUGCACAAUGGGCGGAAGCCUGAUGCAGCAACGCCGCGUGCGGGAUGACGGCCUUCGGGUUGUAAACCGCUGUCGCCUGUGACGAAGCGUGAGUGACGGUAAUGGGUAAAGAAGCACCGGCUAACUACGUG
rnacentral:rRNA from 1 species